CCCCUUUUUUUCUUUCCAGCCAUCUUUUCUCCUCAGGCUCUAUGCAUCUUGAAUUUCUUUGAAAUUACAAAGUGGCUUCAAUUCUACAUCUAAAUAUUCCAGAAUUUAAGCUUAAGCAUAAGAGCACCUUUUUGAAGUUCUUUUUUUUUUUGAACUGGUAACUUUGCAUUCCUCGGCAUGCUGGUCACCUCCAAAAAUUUACACUUAAAGAGGAACCAAUUACAGUAAUCUUAUGAAGUCAACUAAUUGAACUUCCUCAAUACAUUGCUCUAGACCGG
rnacentral:lncRNA from 1 species